rnacentral:rRNA from 1 species
UACGUAGGGGGCUAGCGUUGUCCGGAAUCAUUGGGCGUAAAGCGCGUGUAGGCGGCCCGGUAAGUCCGCUGUGAAAGUCCAGGGCUCAACCCUGGGAUGCCGGUGGAUACUGUCGGGCUCGAAUCCGGAAGAGGCGAGUGGAAUUCCUGGUGUAGCGGUGAAAUGCGCAGAUAUCAGGAGGAACACCAAUUGCGAAGGCAGCUCGCUGGGACGUAACUGACGCUGAGACGCGAAAGCGUGGGGAGCAAACAGG